AAACUUUUACUAAAUUUUUCAACUACCACUCACUACCACUCACUACUUAAUCACUUAACUAGACUGAGAGUCUGAGAACAGGUGUGUUAGUUGGAACCGUUAGGUUAUCAAACUAUUACAUGUUACUUUUUACAUAUAGUGAACAACCCACUUGCUAAUUUGUUGAAAUAAACGGAUAUAAAAACAUCCUCCAUUUUGGUCUCCGAUCAACCGGAUAAUGUUAUAUAUUCUUCCUUCCGAUGUGUAUUGUGGACUAUUUUUUUGAAAAUGGCAUAUGCGGCAUCCUGAAUUCCUAAUGCCCUGAUUGAAAAUUGAGAUCGAAAUAUGAAAUAUCCCACCCGAAAGCACAUGCAUGCAUGAGGAUUGAGAAAUUGAGGACAGUUGCCACCAACUGUAGUCUGUAGUCUGUAGACUGUAGUCAAAACCCAGAUAUGGUUUGAAAAGCUCUCUCUGUUCAUACUAAGGGUUCA
rnacentral:lncRNA from 1 species